rnacentral:rRNA from 1 species
UACGAAGGGAGCUAGCGUUGUUCGGAAUUACUGGGCGUAAAGGGCGCGUAGGCGGCUUCGAUAGUUGGGCGUGAAAUGCCUGGGCUUAACCCAGGAAUUGCGCUCAAUACUGUGAGGCUCGAGUGUGGGAGAGGAUAGUGGAAUUCCCAGUGUAGAGGUGAAAUUCGUAGAUAUUGGGAAGAACACCAGCGGCGAAGGCGGCUAUCUGGACCACAACUGACGCUGAGGCGCGAAAGCGUGGGGAGCAAACAGG